UACAGAGGGGGCUAGCGUUGUUCGGAAUUACUGGGCGAAAGGGCGCGUAGGUGGCCUGUUAAGUCGAACGUGAAAUCCCCGGGCUCAACCCGGGAACUGCGUCCGAGACUGGCAGGCUCGAAUCCGGGAGAGGGAUGUGGAAUUCCAGGUGUAGCGGUGAAAUGCGUAGAUAUCUGGAGGAACACCGGUGGCGAAGGCGGCAUCCUGGACCGGUAUUGACGCUGAGGCGCGAAAGCCAGGGGAGCAAACGGGAUUAGAAACCCCCGUAGUCC
rnacentral:rRNA from 1 species